UCUCCGUAGGUGAACCUGCGGAAGGAUCAUUGUAGGAUUGUUUUGGGAGGGGUGGUUGUGAUUUGUGGGGAUUGUGUGUGGUUGUUUGGAUUGCUUGGAUUGCCCGGAUUGCCUGGCUGUCUGCAACUCGACUCGUCUCAUCACAACCACUCUUUACAUUGGCACAGACCAGUGGUCUGGUGUUUGGAGCAACAGACCACUGGUGUCUGAUGUUUGCGCUUGCUCGUUUGACAGAAACAAUACCAUAUCCUAUUAUCAUUGCAAAACUUUUAACAAUGGAUCUCUUGGCUCUG
rnacentral:misc_RNA from 1 species